CAGGGUCCGAUUCCAACAGCUCUCCACCCCUCCCGGCUAGGUCUUCCUUCCUUGUUUGGUUAUCACACUGUUGCUACGUCUCCAGGAGCUCUUCGGUACAGCCCUUGAGAAGGGACUUUCUCAGCCUCACAGUCAUUUCUGGCUGAGCCCCAUGGUGCGGGAGAGGCUGCUCUGUCGCACAGAAGAGUGAGGCCGUCCCCUGCCUCUGCCUGCUAAGUGCCAGCAGCCCAGUGGCUGCUUCCCUGGCAUCUCCCCAGAAGGACGUGAGAACUGCAGUUUGCUAUGGUCUCAGCUGUACUUUGCAAUGAUUGCUUCCUAUUAUGUGGGGACUGGCAUUUCACUUGGACAUGCGCUACUUUACAGAAGAGGAAACUGUGGCUAACAGAGCGGGCAGCUUCCACCCGAGGGAAUAGUCAGUGCCUGCUGCGUUUCUGAAGUUGCACAGGUCCCAGCGGUGAUGGUGCAGCAGCUAAAGCCUGUCCACCUACUAAUCAUCCCCUCUCCCUGUCAAUCUGGAACUGGGGCUCAGUAAUGGGCCUACUGUACCCCUGACCCAGAGCCACAGGAGGAAGACCUGUUGCCUGUUUCCCAAGCUGCCCUGACUUCUCAAGAUCUACCAAAAGGAAGGCGACCUUGCAUCUGUUGGUAGGAUUGACACUGUGCUGAGAAGGCCUCCAGCCCGUCGGACGGCGCCACCACAUCUGUGGCAGGUCUUUCCUCCUUGGUUAAACCUUUGGAAAAAGCCCACACCACCAAGGUGUGUCUCCUAGAGGACCUGUAUACCAUCAAGUUGGCAGUCAAGGUCAACCCCUGCCUUUCCCCUCUUGCCCUGUCACCCUGACACCCAGCUUCUAUUCCACUGCCAGCUCACAGUCCAACAACAGCUACUAGACCUCCCAUUCCCAUCAGGAGGAAGGAAAAUGGGACAAAGCAGGCUAAAGGACUCCUAUGAGGAGUCUUUCAGGGAAGCUGAUUGGAAGCUGGCUCCGAAUGUUGCUGUUGACACCUUGUUUGUCAUCCCUAGCAACAAGGGACUGUGAGAAUCAGUCCUUAUUCUCAGUGUCCUCUCACUCUGUGAAGACAAAGAAGGACGUUUUUCUUCUUUUCUUUUUUAAAGGAGACACUGGCUAGGGCCACCAGGAGACUAAAUUUCCAGGGAGGACUGAUGUCUGGCUGCUGGGACAGGCGGGUGCCACUGAGUGAGUAGGAGAAGAUUGGUCUUGAAGAAGUGGGUGUCGGGGUGAAGUGCUCUGGCAAGAAGUGGGGUUCUGGGGAGGGGGUGCUCUGGAAAGCAGGACUGUGAGUAGAGAAGAUGGAGGCAGAAUGGGGUGAGAGCAGGUGAAGUGGUCCAGCCUAGAGCACCCCCUGGGGAAUGACUGAGUGUUACACAUCCUCUGGCAAAGACAAGAAGAGUAAUAUGAUAACCUGCUGGUGACUUUGGGUGGCAUACUGCCCCACCAUCUUCACCCCCAGAAGCCUGCUUCCUGCUCCUGCGUCCUUCACUGUCACCCCAUAGCCUUCUGCCAAAGCUGCCAUGGCGAGGGAAGACCCCCAACACAGCUCCCACCUUGCAACCUUUCCUUGUAUAAGCCUGUCCUCAGGUAGCAUGGCAUUGUCCCCCCUAAAAUCUGUGUCUGCUAUCCAGAUGAUUUCUAAUGAUUAUUAUUAUGAUCCAGUAAUUUCCCUUAAUAUCUGUGGGCUUUUCAUACCUACGUUCUUAGCUUUGAGUCCUCAGGUGACAUUCCAACACAGAAGAGCCAGUUCCCACAGAGUCCGGGACUCACUCUAUCACAUCUGUUGACAGCUAGCUGUGUGACAUUAGUCCUCUGCCAGGAGAUGAUUACAUGGAUGAAAAAUGAGGCCAGGAGAAGGGAGGGCAAGGUCAGGGAAGCAUGCAUAUGGGGCUGAGCUCAGGAACCAUGGGCAGGGUCAUGUGGCCUCCCAUGCACUUUUGAAAUGAUGAUCUCAAACAAGAAUGAGGGAAAGUUGGCUAGCAGAGUGUGAAUGUCCUGGGAAGUGGGUAGGGGUGCGUGGGGACAAAGAGGACUAGAGACGGAGAAGAGGCUCAGUGGAAAGUAAGAGGAGCUCUCUGUCACUUGUGGAGACCCUCACAAACACGAUCGUCUUAAUGCCCGCAUCUAUGCUGUGAAAUAAACCGGAUGCUCUCACACCCAUUUCGUAGUUAGGAUAACUGAGAUCCUAGCAGGUGGUCUGUGGGUGAGUCCCUCAGCCUCUUGUCUGAACAACUGGAAGAGCAGUACCUGCUUCCUGUGACAUCCUUUGCAGGUCACUGCCAAUCUGUCCUAUUUCAGUGACAGCACCCCUAUAGCCAUGCUUGGGACUUCCUUUCUAUGAUCCCUAUUUCUAAUCCCAUCCUCCUUCCCUGCAUCUUGUUAUCUGCUCUUCCCCUCCUUUCUUUAUUCUAUUGCUUUUAUUUCCUUCCUUUCUUCCCUGUUGCUCCUCUCUCAGUUCUGUUGGGAGUCCUGGGAGCCAGAGAUAGCUGAUACCUCUCCACCUCCUCCUUGUGAUGUAGGCCAAUAGACAGCCCUCCAAAUUGCUUUGACAUCCACCAAGGAGCACAUUCCAGAAAUAUCUUAGGUCCUCUUCAGGAUGCAGUUGGAGCAUCUGGUUU